GCUCCGGUCAGGGCCACUGUGCCCUUCCCAGGAAAAUGGGCAGCUUGGGGUACCCCGUGGCCCCUGGCUUUGUCCUCAGUCCAGGCCAGGAUCCCAUAAAGAUAUAGCUGGGGGGUCGAGGUUCUUCCUCCUAGGAAAGCUGCUCAGGAGCCCCAAGGCACAAGGAGGGGCCCUUGCCACGUGUGCCGUGGGCAGCCAGGCCCAUUCCAGGCUGGGGAGAGGGAGACAGGGUAAAGAGAGUCAGGCCACUCUGUUCAGCAGUUCAGUUUUUGCAAAGCAACUGUGACCGAAAACCAACUGCAAGAUUCUCAAGAGCCCUGAAGAGUCAAGGAAAUAAAUCAUCCAAGAACACACUAAGCCCGCCAAGGGCCCACCCUGACCAUGUGGGCAGAGAUAGCUUGUAAGGCUCACAGUUAUGUCCCCCAGGUCAUCAAGGGCCAGAGGCUGGAUGUGGGUGCUCCGAGAUUACAGCUGAAUCCUCCCCUCCAUACCCGUGUCCUUCAGGGACUCCCCAACAGCAGUGGCAAUGGCCAGAGAGCCAGGUUCUGCCUGCACGGUUCAGGCCAUGGCUCAUGGCAGCAUUACAAUGCCUGUUGAGCUUCCCAAAGCAGAAAGGUCCACUGCCCACCCCGGGGAGCAGUGAGCGGGUCCCUGUGGGUCGCACUGCGCACACGCCUCUGUUCCAGCCCCUGCUGCUGCCCAACAGCACAAUCCUCUCUUCUCAUGUCCAUUUCCCCAAUUAGACUGGGAGCUCCCUGUGGCCGUGACAGUGUCCACACACACGUCUCUGGCUGCCCACAGCUCUGCUCUGCAGAGGGCUGGGUAAAUGGUGAGCGCUCGUAAAACGUUGAAAUGAACAGCAGUGAUAACUUGGCCUCGGGUUCCAUCAGACACAUCAGCGAUCUCUCCUCCAGACUAAAACUGAGCGUGCUGAGAACAAAAACUGCAUCUUGCUUGACUGGCUUCUGGUACCCCCUGGCACACAGCAGGGGUCUGUGCCAUUUUGUUAAAUGGAUGAAUCAAACAAACAGGAUUACCAUGUCAGGCUCUGAGGCAAGAUGGGCAACUGUUCUCAGCUUCACCAGGAUUCCCAAGCACCAGAACCACCUCUCCCAACUCCCAGGGCCUACCCCACCCACAGUUUCAACAGACCCCAUCAGACACGGACACCAGGCAGUGCCACUUGGAGGGAAGCCCCGGUGAGGCCACAGGGACACAGAGGCUCUUGCAGCUGAAUGCACAGAGCCCGGAGGCACCCCCUCGGGGCACGGCACCAUCCUCUCUGUCAGUCUUAGCAAAUGCUGACUACUGACUAAGGACCUAUUAGGUCGCAGUCCCUGGAGAUUCGGAGAGCUCAAGCAGUAAUUUUGAGCCUCCUCAAUGCUGCUGCCUUCUCCCAUAUAUUUCCCCAGGAACCCCAUUUUUAAAAAGAUUUGUUUCUACCAAGCAAGCUGUGUUUAUUAAGCAAUCAUUUAAUUUCCUAUUUUCCUUUCAUAGAAAAAAAUCCCUAUGUACCAAUCAUAGGCUUCUGACCAGCAUGGGCUCACAACCCUGUGACCAUCAACUGUGCAGGACCCCAGCCCAAGGCAAAGCAACCUGACAUUUCCCUUCAUCCGCGUGACCGUCUAAAGGAGAAACGUAGGACCCCCCCACCCGAGGAUGACUACAUUCAUCCUAAGAGAAUCAGGCCUGCCACAGAAGACUGCUGGAGGAAACACCUCAGUACACCACCCCUGUACUGGGAGAGGAAAGAGAUGAAGCCCCAGUGACAUUCACCUUGCCCAAGGCCGUGAGUGCUAAGAGGCAAGGCCCGGGCAGGUCUGGGCAGGAAGUAAAAGCAGAAGAGGACUCCUGUUCUGCUGUCCCUUGUCCCAAGUGCACAACAGAGGCGAAGGGUGGCAUCCCUCAC
rnacentral:lncRNA from 1 species